UUUUUAUGGAGAGUUUGAUCCUGGCUCAGGAUGAACGCUGGCGGCGUGCCUAAUACAUGCAAGUCGAGCGAACAGACGAGGAGCUUGCUCCUCUGACGUUAGCGGCGGACGGGUGAGUAACACGUGGAUAACCUACCUAUAAGACUGGG
rnacentral:rRNA from 1 species